CGUGGGCCCCGUGGAGGGGCAUGCAAGUUUCACGGGCCGCAAGGCCAGUGGCGCAAGGGUGAGUAAGGCGACGGUAACCAACCCCAUGAUUGGGUAUAGCCGUGGGAAACCGCGGGUAAUCCCCGGCGACGUCCGGGAGGGGCAUCCCUCCUGGACCAAAGCCCCGGCGUCCCGGGACGGGCUGUCGUGGUAUUAGCUAGUUGGCGGGGUAACGGCCCACCAAGGCGGUGAUGCCUACCGGGCGUGCGAGCGUGGCCCGGCACACUGGGACUAGACACUGCCCAGACUCCUACGGGAGGCUGCAGUCGAGAAUCUUCGGCAAUGGGCGCAAGCCUGACCGAGCGACGCCGCGUGGAGGACGAAGGCCUUCGGGUUGUAAACUCCUGUCGAGGGGGAAGAAGGGCCGUUAAAAGCCUUGACUGAUCCCUGGAGGAAGCACGGGCUAAGCUCGUGCCAGCAGCCGCGGUAAGACGAACCGUGCGAACGUUAUUCGGAAUCACUGGGCUUAAAGCGCGUGUAGGCGCGCCGGCACGUCGGACGUUGAAAUCCCCCGGCUCAACCGGGGAAGUGGCGCCGAUACGACCGGCCUGGAGGAACGUAGGGGGAGCUGGAACUUCCGGUGGAGCGGUGAAAUGCGUUGAGAUCGGAAGGAACGCCCGUGCGAAAGCGAGCUCCUGGACGUUUUCUGACGCUGAGACGCGAAAGCCAGGGAGCGAACGGGAUUAGAUACCCCGGUAGUCCUGGCCGUAACGAUGGGCACUGGUAGGGGCUCGCCGAUGGCUCGCUNCGUAGGAAACCGUGANUGCCCGCUGNNAGUAUGUC
rnacentral:rRNA from 1 species